rnacentral:rRNA from 1 species
AUUGAACGCUAGCGGGAUGCUUUACACAUGCAAGUCGAACGGCAGCGUGGACUUCGGUCUGGCGGCGAGUGGCGAACGGGUGAGUAAUGUAUCGGAACGUGCCCAGUAGCGGGGGAUAACUACGCGAAAGCGUAGCUAAUACCGCAUACGCCCUACGGGGGAAAGCAGGGGAUCGUAAGACCUUGCACUAUUGGAGCGGCCGAUAUCGGAUUAGCUAGUUGGUGAGGUAACGGCUCACCAAGGCGACGAUCCGUAGCUGGUUUGAGAGGACGACCAGCCACACUGGGACUGAGACACGGCCCAGACUCCUACGGGAGGCAGCAGUGGGGAAUUUUGGACAAAGGGGGCAACCCUGAUCCAGCCAUCCCGCGUGUGCGAUGAAGGCCUUCGGGUUGUAAAGCACUUUUGGCAGGAAAGAAACGUCGCGGGCUAAUACCCCGUGGAACUGACGGUACCUGCAGAAUAAGCACCGGCUAACUACGUG